UGAAGAGAGAAAUAGAUAAGAGAGUUUGAGAAGAGAGAAAAAGGUAAGAAAUAGAGUAGAUUUGAUGGAUUGUUUGGUAGAAGAGAAAGAGAUAAGAAAUAGAGAAGAGAGAAAUGUUAAUUAUAUUGAAAAGUACAAAAAUACCCUUGAAUUAAAAAUUUCACAUAAAAAUGAUUUAAGUAAUUCAAAUAGUACUUUAUAUAAUUUUGAGUAUUUUAAAUAAUUAUAUUACUUUAUUGUUAAAAAACAAUUAUAUUACUUUAACUCAUUAUUAGAUUAAUUAAUUAUUAAAUGAAGUAAUUCAAUUAUUAAUUAAUUGGACUAAUUUAAUAGUUUAAUUUUUUAAAGAUCAACUAAAAUAUACAAGUAAAAAAAAAAAAGAAGUGGAAACCGACCAUUUAUCUCGUCGGUGCAUCUUGACAUUUCCUUCAUUUAUCUACCAAGAGACAGUUGUUUUUAAAUUAUAAAUUUCAUUCAAAAUAUAGCAUAACAAUUGUUGAAGAUCUUUUUCUUUUCCUCAAAAAAUGAGCAUCAUUGAAUAUUUCUUCUCCAUCUCAGAUCUACUGUGUUGUUUUGGUAGAGCAAAGUUUUGGAAUAGAGCACUACAAUGGUUGAUGGCAAGGGCAAAUUUG
rnacentral:lncRNA from 1 species